UUCAAUAUGGUUCCUAUCAUGUCAGAACUGACAAUCCCACAUCGCUUGUGCACGAGAUGACGCUGCAAAGGACAUAGUAUAAAAUGAAGAUGAAGAGACAUUGAAAAGCAUACCUUUCUCGGCCUUUUGGCUAAGAUCAAGUGUAGUAUCUGUUCUUAUCAGUUUAAUAUCUGAUACGUGGGACAUCGUCCCACAUGAUAUUAAAUUUAUUUUUUUAGGGGGAGGUCUCACCACAAUAGCUUGCUAUUGGAGUCCUCGCGCGUCGCCCUGGCGUUGCACUAUUGCCUGGGCCUGGCGCACCCCUCAAAUUCAAGUUCUAAUUUAUUUGCGAAAGGUUGUUGCAGAUGUCCUAAAUUCAAUUUAGAUUAGAGUUUUCACAAGUUAAUUGUAGUUGUAUGUUGAUUUCUGUCUAUUUAUUGAGUUAUUUCUGGAUUGUAUUGAAUGGGUUCAUAGCUAUUGCAGCAAAAGAGGUCUGUCCUGGUAUUCGUAAUUUUUGUCGAGGGCUGCGUUGAUGGUGGUGAUAUAUGCUUUGGGUAUUAAUAUUAUUGAAUUAGUUUUUACCAGUUUUUAUUGAAGUUGUUGGAAAUGGCAAAGCGCAUUCUGGUGGUUCUAUGGAUUUGAGUAAACUUGUCUGGGUUGUGAGGGAAAGGUUUGUAGGUUUGGGGGCAGAGGAAUGUAUAUUGAAUGGUGAUCAAGGCAUGAGUAAGAUUGAGAUGCUGAGGAGUGUUUGGCUCAAUGGGGAAUGGGGAAGGGGAAGAGUCCUUUUUCCCCUUUUGUUGAUCUACAUGUGUGCGUUCAUCCUUGUGGGCUUUUGAUAUUGUAUCUCAUUACCCUUAUUUCUCACUUCUAAAUUCGCAUCAUCUUUUUAGUAUAAAUCUUAACUUAAAACUAAAUAAAUAAGAAAAAUUGAAAUCUCAACUUUUUUCUUUUGAACAUUUUUUCCUCAAUUUUACAACAAAAUCUCAGCAAUUUUUUAAACAAAAGAUCACAUCUGUGUGGACCGUAUUAGAUGCUUUUAGUUGUGAAUUCACUCCUGACUCAGUGCUAUAAAGAUCAAGUGUCCAUUCUGGGACCUUCUACAAUCUUGAAUUGAGCUCUUAAUUUUCUCUUUUUGGAUAAGGCAUUGAGAAGUAGUCCUACCAAGACAAUGGUGAAGUCCUUGAGCUAUUAAUUCUACUCAAUUCCUAAUCAGCUGCAGAAGUUACAAGGGCUGAGUGACUCCAAAUAACAUUAGCAGCGAUAAGUAAUGGCUACCAGUUGCAGGGAUGACGGCUGUGGUUAUGCAAAGGAUAUUUUGUUUUUGCUUUUGGUAUGUUUUUUUUUUGGUGACCCAUCUAUUGUUGUGUUUCAAAUAAACCUUUUUAUGUUGUAUUGGUGUUAUUGGAGUUGAAAGAAAUAAUUUUCCUGAAUGCAGCAAAAACAAGCAUGGGAAUUCACUUAUUCCCACUCUAACAUGUCGAUUUUGUUUUAAUAGAUGUGUUUUCAACAAAAGGAAGUGUCUUAUCUGUUGUGUAUUGGUGACUGUCUCCUCAUUUCAGUCAUUGAUGACUGAGCUGGUUUCAUGUCUCUUUGUUUGUGGCCAAAAACUAACGUUAUAUCUUUCUCAGUAGUCCUGAAGAACAGGGGAAUCUUGUCUUCCUCAAGCAUAUAUAGAGGGUGGAUCUAAUGAAAUUUUAAUUUCAUUUUUUUUAAGAUUUCCUUUUGUACUCGAUCUGUUUUUUUGUACGUUUUUGUUUUUGGUGUUUUGGUUGGGAAGGAGGGAAGUUGGGUUUAAUUAUGAUGGUAGUAUUGCGAUGAGUGAUUAUGAGGUGGAGAUGGUGACUGAUGGCAUGCCUUUUUUAUGAAAAUUUUUCAUAAACAUGACUGAUCCUUUUCCUCCUUCCCUGAUCUAAAUGAGUAUGUCUCUCUUUGUGAUUGAAAAUUUAAAGUAUUUGUGGUACAAACCAAUAACAUUCUUCUCUUUACCGUCAAACUUGCGUAUAAUUUUGAAUAGAUCAAUUUCUAGUUUUCUAAGACAAUUCACACUUGGGUUCCAAUUUUGGUUCUUUGGUUUAUCAUUUGAACAGCUGAUUCAUGCCUAAAAAUUGUUCCCUUGAUUUAGUCAAAUCUGGUUAUAAACUAUUGUACUCACUUGUCUGUUGGUUCUUACAUGGGGUGCAAGUUUGUUGUAUGAUAGUUUUCAGCAAUUAGAACGGAUUUUCAUUUGUAGAAUGCAUAUGGGUUUUUUCAAGUCUUUAUACAAGAAAGAGAGUUUUCCUGUUUGAUUGAUUGGGGCAGGUCCAUGUAACUGAGGCGUGUGGAGGAUAAGAGUGGAGCUUGGCUUUUGUCAACAAGAUCUAUCACCCAAAUGUGGCUAAGAUUUGAGUUCAACCCAGUACUUUUGCUUCUGUGGGUGGUAUCUGCUGUUGUAACACAAAUUCAAUGAGGAAUUCAUUUUUUUUUAAAGCAUUAUACUUUUGGAGGUUCUUGUGUUUUUCGUGUGGCUCUGUUUGUUUAAAUGGUACUCAGAGCUUGAUGUUUGAUAAAAUAGUGUACCAUGUCAAUGAUUUAAUAUAGUUUGUACAGACUCUGGACACAUGAUUUUUUUUUUCAUGCAUUAUUUUUGGUUUAAUGCAUAAAAUUGUCAAUUUCAGAUGUCUGACAUAUGUAUUUUUUAAUUUGUUUUCAGAUCUGGUAUACUAGUUUUAAGUGCUUUUUCCUUGAUUUGUUCUGUAUCAUAAACCAUCAGAGCUUUCAAAUGGUGAGGCUGCUGUGAUUAUGUGUGAUCUCCCUGCUUAUGAACAAAGAAGAAAGGUAGCAACUCUUCUCAAACUUGUCUGUUCCAAAAGUAUGAUUGUUUGGUGUUAAAGUGGCAAGACUAGAGUGUCUUGAAUUUUCUAUUGAUUUCUUUGCUCAUCCAAUGAACUUGAGAUGGAGUUCAAUUCAUUAACUGUGAAGUACUCCAUUGCAUAAAUCCAAAAUCAUUUCUAUAAAUGAAGACAUCUGAGGCCAUGAACCCUAAAUGCGAGCACAAACCAUUUUCCUGUUACUUUAAUGCCUAUUUAACAAUUCCUCGGAAGUUUGUGGAACUUGGUCUUGUUGGGAAUUCUUAUAAUUUUUGUAAUGUUAGAUUUGUUCCUGUUUUCAGAUAGUCAUCUGGACUCUGUUCCUAAACAUAUUUGCUUUUCCAAUUGGGUCUACUAUGCCAGUUGUUCAAUUCAUUCCUAUGAGAUGCAACCUGAAUUGUUGCUUGUAGUGUUUCUUUCUUACUUCCUUUUCCUUUUCUGCCAACAUUGGUUCUCUCUACAUCUUCAAGUUUUCAGCCACUUGCAUCACAGAUAAAGGGUUAAAGAAAUUCUAUUGACAUUCAGUUCCAUGUUCUAUUAAAAGGAAUUCUGAACAUAUUUGUUUUGAGAGAAUGGCUAGAAAUGUCAAUCCCAAAAUCUAGAAAUCAUCAACCUGCUUGAAGAUUAUAAAAAGGAAGCAAGGAGGAUUUAAUAUCUGUGUAUAGAAAUAGAGAAUGCAGUGAUAAGUAGCAGUAGAAUGAGGUGGGGAGGUUCACUUCCAGUUGAGAAUGUCCAGGAUCUUACUUCCAAGAACUUCAGUUUUGACAAGUCUAGUAGGUUUAUCCAGAAGCCAAUUCUGAAGAUAUUAUGAUGGAUGAGUGUCUUCAAAUUCUGUUAACUGAUAGAGGAAACUCAUGGUUGGUCAGUUUAGCCUGGGGCCCGAAGGCAAUGACUUUCACCAACUUUAUUUGGCUGGUAAAGAUUUGGGCUUCUCAUGGAUAUAGCCCCAUUUUCUAGUUAUGGGCAUCUGAGUGGUAACUCCUAGUUUUUAGUUGCAGUUCUUGAGCAGCCUCUGAAAAUUCAGAUGGAUGAUAACUACCCUAGAAGGGUUUUCUUCUUUCCUUUUUUUGGUGUUUAUGACAAACAAUAGACAAGCAUUCAAUCCAUAGGAUCCUAAGCUUGACAGGACCCUUGCUGCUGCCUAGUCCAUGGGGUAGUAUAGUUGUGCUUGCACUACAACUCAAUGCUCUACCUUGAAACUCAUUUAAUACCAAAUUUAGAUCAACCAAACCCUGUUCACCAUCAUUUGAUGGUGAGGGGUUACUAGUUAGCAGUGGUCUAAUUGCAUUCCCAUGACACCAAGGUUAAGUUACAUUUAGAAUUGCACAAUUAAGUAACCUGAAAAUAGACUCUUUAAGGAAAAACACAGGAAAAAACAAGGCAAAGGCAGAUGAGAAAGUGUGAAGUGUUAUCCCACUUCAACAAGGCAUGAAGUGUGGCUGUAGAAGGACAUAGCAUAAAAGGGAGUCGAGAAGGCAUUGCAAAACAUACCUUUCUCGGCCUUUUGGCUAAGAUCAAGUGUAGUAUCUGUUCUUAUCAGUUUAAUAUCUGAUACGUGGGACAUCGUCCCACAUGAUAUUAAAUUUAUUUUUUUAAGGGGAGGGCCAAUCCCAAUAGCUUGCUAUUGGGGUCCUCAUGUGUCACCCUUGCGUUUCACUACUGCUUGGGCCUGGCCCACCCCUCCAAUUACAGUCUACUAAUUUGUGACAGCUUGCUUGGGCAAGGGGUCUACUCAUGUAUUGGUACUGCAGUUAUUUGUUUGUAUAUUCCAGUAUUUAUGGGCCUCGGGCUGUUGUAAAGAUUGAUACUUCUGAUUUGUUUGGGCUAGGCUUUACUACUAUUGGAUCUCAAUCUCGUGGUAGUUGCAAUUUAUCCAUAUUUGAACUUUAUUCUAUUUUACAAAUUAAAUAAAGUUCGAGAAAAAACAUCAAAUUUCAUUCUUUCUUUGAAGAAUUGUUAUAGCACAAUAACUAUUUAUACCAGUGUUUUUUAGCUGUAGUUGUGUGCGUUUGGACCCAACAUGAAAAACUAGUUUAUGUCUUUAAACACCUAGUUCCUAAUAGCCGAAGAAAUACCAUAACUAGAUUCAUUCAUGACAACAUAAAAUUUUCUAUUGAUUUUACUUGUAAAGGUGACCUGCUGUGCCAUUUUAAGAUGUAAUCUUUGAAUAUUUACAUAAAUAAUAUUUUCUUCUCUGGCAAAAAAUAUUUUACCUUAAGUCCUGAUCAAAAAGGGUAUAUAUUUUGGUGAAUGAUUAUUAACAUAAAAUAGAAAGUAAAAUUAUUCAUCUGAAGAUGAAAGAAAAAUGAAACCUAUUACAUUUUAUCAUACAUCUCAUAAAGUUUGUAUGUCCCUGGGAUUUGAUAGAAAAUGGUGCAGUAGCAGUUAAGCCUUGUAGUAGUUGGAUAAGACACAGGACCAGCCAAAAAAGGAAUAAAAGGAGAACAAAAAAUGCUGUCCAUCUAACCAAACACAAUAACAUCAUAUAAUGGUUUUACUACACUUAGCCCUUAUGCCACUUGUAUCCCAAAAGGAGUUCCUCAUGCAAAAUGGUAGCAACAGAAGAAGAGGAUAAAAAAUGAAACCUUUACAGAUCUGGGGUGAGAUUGGGCUUAUAGAUUGCAAGGCUUUGAGGCACCAUUGUGUCAACAAGAGCAUCCACCUGCUUGAGGCUGGGAGACUUUAGGUUCACAUCAACCAUGUCUUCUUGCUUGGCUGAAGAAAGUGUUUCCAUUCCUGGUAAAGCUGCAAUUUUCUGAAACAGUGCCUGUAUGAAAAAGGUUCAUUUAACCAAAGAAUUCCAUGAUCAAGACAGUUACAACCUAGUGAGCAUCCAAGAAUUAAUCUAAAGGAUGUCUGGGGAAAGAGAUUACCUUUAUAUUGAAGCCAGCUUUGGCACUUGUGUCAAUGAACAUGAUGUUAAGUUCACGAGCUUUGGCUUCUCCUUCUUCUAUUGAGACUUGCCAGUGGGCUCACCUACAUGAAACCAAAUAUCUUAGUGAAAGAGGCAAAAAGAAAAAACAAGGCAGUAUAGACUGAAUGCCAAUCUUCUUGGCCUGGAAGAAAAGCAAGGAGUGCUUCACAACACAUAAUAUUUUGCUAAUGGGUAUCAGCAGUUGGAAAUGAACACGGGAAAAGACAUACUGCUUGGACUUGAUGAUGACAAUUCACAGUUUAAUAAAGACAUAGUUCAACUUAAUUCCCAAACAGCUGCAGAAGUUACAAGAGCUGAGGGACUACAAAUAACAUUGGGAGUGAUAAAGGUGGACUGAAGCUUGUAUCUUAAGCAUGAAGUGGUCCAGGUUUCAUGGUCUGAGGUCCUGAGAUGGGCCUAGAAUAAGUAGUCCAUUAAGUUGGAUCAGUCAUUAGUGGACGAAUCUUUAAUGGGAAUUAAUUUGAAUUAUUGGUGUGUCACUGACAGUUCAUUUCUAGGCUUCUAGCUUUCUCAUGCUGGGACUAACAAUCCCACAUUGCUUGUGUAUGAGAUGAAGCUGCAAAGGAUAUAGCAUAAAAUGAAGAUGAGGAGACAUUGAAAGGCAUACCUUUCUCGGCCUUUUGGCUAAGAUCAAGUGUAGUAUCUGUUCUUAUCAGUUUAAUAUCUGAUACGUGGGACAUCGUCCCACAUGAUAUUAACUUUAUUUUUUUAGGGGAAGGGCCCAUCAUAAUAGCUUGCCAUUGGGGUCUUUGAGCGUUGCCCGUGCGUUGCACUACUGCUUGGGCCUGGCACACCCCUCCAAUAUCUUGUCCCACAAUUUGUUUAUAAAUGCAAUAGUCUGAGCUGGUAUUGGAAAAAAUUUCUCUACUCCAAUCUCUCUCUUUUAAAAUUGGGUGUUCAGGGGUGGUGAGAAUAUCAGGGAUGAAGAGUUGUGAGAAUCCAUGCGGAUUAGCAUAGUGUAACGACCCGCACCCAACCAUAUAGAUAUUGUCCGCUUUGGGCCCAAGGGGGCCCUCACGGUUUUAAAACGCGUCUACUUGGUUAAGAGGAGUCUCUACAUAUAUAGCGCCAGAAACUUUCUCCCCUAUCCGAUGUAGGACAUCACAAACACCCCCCCCAUGCAGACACAACGUCCUCGUUGUGUCCCAUGGGAUUGCGGGGCCAAACAAACCCCCACACCGGGGUUGGGGAUCGGCUCUCAUACCAUUUGUAACGACCCGCACCCAACCAUAUAGAUAUUGUCCGCUUUAGGCCCAAGGGGGUUCUCACGGUUUUAAAAUGCGUCUAUUUGGUUAAGAGGAGUCUCUACAUAUAUAGCGUCAGGAACUUUCUCCCCUAUCCGAUGUGGGACAUCACACAUAGACUCUUUCCUUUAGCCAUUUUUCCUUUUCUGAUCCUAACAAUGUACCCCUUGCUUUUUUGCAUCCACAACAACCCAUCAUCUGAGCAUGCAGUAGUCUCUUUCUUGCUUCUCUAAUUUAAAUCCACCCAUUGUAGUUUUCUGUCAAAUUGUUUUUUCUUCCAGGGAUAUGGUCUUAAAUGAUAAUUUGAUCUGAAAUUGAUGCAGCCCAAAUGGAAUGUUGUGAUACCUAAGAUGUUUCAGAAUGAGUAUAUUGGCAGUGCACCUUACAUGUCCUGUCUGCACUUUUCUUUAUCACCAAAAACUCUAUACAAGAGGUCAAUUUUUUAUCCUCUUAUCUGAUGGCUCGAGUAUUUUAAGCAAUCAGGAAGUGGUUUGUCAGGUUUAGAGGUUUAUGGAGAAGUUUCUGGAUGUGGAGCCCCUGAGAAUACCUUAUCCAGGAGCUGUUUCCCAUGCAGCCAUUUGGUAAUUUUCCUCACCUUGUUAUUUCUUCUGCACAUUAUAUUUUUCAGUUGUCUUGGAUACAUGUUCUCUUUGAGAUCAUAUGUAAUAUGGAGAAGCAAACCUAACAUUGAAAAAUACAUUAGUUGGAAAUUUGUGGGAUGGAUGCUUGACUAUAGGACUCAUAUUGGGAAUGCUUUCUGGGUUGAGUAGAUAACCAGGACAAUCUGCAUUGUUCGUUACUUUCUGGUCUGGCUAUAUAUCUUUGGUUGGUUAUGUUUUUAAGGAGAUAAAACUGUUUUAUGUUCAAUAAAAAUAAAAAUAAAAAAUUUGAAAAAGAGGGAUGCCUUGAUCUUAUACCAAUGGUAGUUUCAUUUCCCAAAUUGUUCCUUGACUGUAAUUUAUGCCUUUUUUUUUAUUAUAUUGUCACAUGGGAAUAAAAAUCAUAUUUUUCAACUUCAAAUGUAAUGGAUAUGAUGCUUCUUUUAUGACCUUGGUAUGCAACACCGUGCCACAAAAACUUUACAUGUUGAUAUGCAUAUAUCUAUAUGUUUUCUUUAUCAAAUAAAUGGAAUUUAUUUAAUCAUAGUUAGUACACAAAAAAAAUAUAAAACAAAACAAAUAAAUAUAAUAUGGCAAGUAAAAUGAAGGAACUCCCAAAGAUUAAACAUCAUUUUUAACCUUUAAUUCAAAUUUGCGUCUUCAUAAUAUGAAAUUAUAAUUAUUAUGGGCUUCAACAUUAUCCUUAUAAUAUAGAUUAAUUUCUCUUUAUUAACAUAUUAUUUCAUGAAAUUGGAGAUACCAAUUAUGCAAUGUUAUUGUAUGUACCCUGGAAAAACAGAAGAAUAAGUUGAACAACCUUCAAUGUGGCUUCUAUCCCAUUCAGCUCUAUAUUACACAUGUCAGACCUGACAAUCCCACAUUGCUUGUGUAUGAGAUAAAGUUGCAAGCCACAUGAUAUAAAAAUAAGAUGAAGAAACGUUAAAAAGCAUACCUUUCUCGGUCUUUUGGCUAAGAUCAAGUGUAGUAUCUGUUCUUAUCAGUUUAAUAUCUGAUACGUGGGACAUUGUCCCACAUGAUAUUAAAUUUAUUUUUUUAGGGGAAGGGCCCAUCACAAUAGCUUGCCAUUGGGGUACUUGUGCGGCACCCUUGAGUUGCACUACUGCUUGGGCCUGGUGCACCCCUCCAAUUAAAGUCUAUAAAUGCCUUAACAGUUUCCUUGGCUAAUUUGAUGGAGUGUAGAACAGAAAUAGUCAACUUUUGGCAGUAAAAACCCAUAACUCUCAUGGCAAUGGAACCACACUCGACACUGUCACAAUGCAGCCAACCCAUUGUGUGACUGCAGGAAGCUUGCUCAACUAGGCGUCUCUUGGAUACUCAAAAGAUUAGGAAGAAGAAUGUGAAUAGAAAAUGUGCUAGCUUUCAAGACACAUUAUGCUUGAGUUGCUUAGAGGAAUAAGGAAGAUGGAGGAUGGAGGAAGAACAGAUGAGCUUCCAAGCAACAAUGAAGAAGUUAUGGAUGCAUUUGAUUUUGUAUUAUUGGUAUAGAAAGUCUCAAAUGUUUCCCAAUGUAGAGGCCUUAAUGCACUUGCUUCCUAGUAGGUUAAAGUUGAAACAGCUUGCUUCAAUUCUAAAACAAUAGAUCUUUCUCUUCAAAUUGAUGUGCAUCUAUCUCUAUGUAUAUAUCCAAAUUAUGCUGUUUCUUCAAGGUAAGUUAAAAUUGUGGAGAAAAAUGAGUACUGGGUGUCAGUGGACAAUAAAACAUUUGCCUAAUCUUUUUGAUAGACUUUUGUGCAGAGUCAUGUUAGGCUAGGGCAGAUCAUCCCUCCUCCACUCUCCAUGUAUCUACUCUUUUACUAAUUUACUUCACUCUCACAACAUGAGCACAUGAGAUUGUAUCCACUCUUCUUUCAUGUAUUUAUUAAUUUUCUUUGCAUCUAUAAUAUGGAUUACGAGAUAGAAAUGCAGUGGGAUAAGCUUGUGUUCCAAGUUAGAUAUGUUGGUGAUGAUAAGUACUGUAAGUAUCGACAGUUUAGUAAGUGACCCCAAAACAGGUCAAAGAAGAAAUGAAAGAUUGGGGGCAUGAGUUAUGCAUGUACUACUAGCCUACUAGCUGUGUGGAUGGUUGAUGGAUGUGAGCAAUUGAUUUAACAUAGUAUCUGUAUAGGUUCUUAAUUGAUGCUCACUCAUUCUAAUAUAUUUUGAUUUAUCACCCCAAUGUAAUGUAUACUUUUAUUUUUUUCUCAUUAUUUAUUAUUUUCUUCAUCUGUGCUGCUUAAGGAUUAAUGGCUACCAGUUGCAGAGAUAGCAGCUGUGGUUAUGCACCAGCUAUCUUGUUUUUUCCUUUUUUCUUUUUUUCUUUUUCAGUGACCCAUCUAUUUUUCUAUUUCAAAUAAACAUUUUUAUGUUGUAUUGGUGUUAUUGGAGUUCAAAGAAAAUUUUUUCCUAAAUGUUAUAAUAACAAGCAUGGGAAUUCACUUAUUCCCAGUCUAAAAUGUCAAUUUUUUUUAAUAGAUGUGUUUUCACCUAAAUGAAAUGUCUUUAUCUGUUGUGUAUUGGUGACUGUCUCCACAUUUUCAGUAAUUGAUGACUGAGCUGGUUUCAUGUCUCUUUGUUUGUGGCCAAAAACUUAUGUUGUAUCUUUCUCAAUCCUGAAGAACAGAGGAAUCUCGUCUUCCCCAAGCAUAUAUAGAGGGUGGAUCUAAUGAACUUGUAAUUUCUUUUUUUCAAGAUUUCCUUUUGUACUCAGUCUGUUUUUCCUUUAUAUCUAUGUUGGUAAUGGUGCGAUAAGUGAUUAUAAGGUGGAGAUGGCGACUGAUGGCAUGCCUUAUUUAUGGAAAUUUUCAUGGACUCACUGGGUAAAUCUUUCAUGUAUGCAAUCUGUUUCCUCCUUCCCUGAUCUAAAUGAGUAUGUCUCUUUGUGAUUGAAAAUUUGAAUAGAGGAAGACCAGUUAUAUGUUCUCUUUACUGUCAAACUCGAGUACAAUUAUGAAUAGAGCAAUUUCUAGUUUUCUUAGACAAUUCGCACUUGGGUUCCAAUUUUGGUUCUUUAGUUUAAUCAUUUGAACAGCUGAUUUUUGCCUAAAAAUUGUUCUCUUGAUUUAGUCAAAUCUGGUUAUAAACUAUUGCACUCACUUGUCUGUUGGUUCUUACAUGAGGUGCAAGUUUGUUGUAGGAUAGUUUUCAUAUAUGAGAAUGGAAGUUCAUUUGCAGAAUGCUUACAGGGAGUUUCAAGUCUUUCUACAAGAAUCAGAGUUUUCCUGUUUGAUUGAUUGUGGCAGGUCCUUGUAACUGAGGUGUGUGGAGGAUAAGAGUGGAGUUUGGCUUUUGUCAACGAAAUCUAUCACCCAAAUGUGGCUAAGAUUUGAGGUCAACACCCGGUAGUAUAGCUUAUGUGGGUGGUAUGUGCUGUUGUAACACAAAUUCAAUAAGGAAUUCAAUUUUAUUUUUUUUCUUUUAGGUUACACUUUUGGAGGUCCUUGAGUUUUUGGUCUGGCUCUGCUUGUUUAAAUGCCAUCAAUGGUACUCAGAGCUUGAUGUUUGAUAAAAUAGUGUGUCAUGUCAAUGUUUUAAUAUAGUUUGUAUGAACUCUGGACACAAGAUUGUUUUUUCUUUCAUACCAUAAUUUCUGGUUUAAUCCCUAGAAUUGUCAAUUUCAGAA